AUGAAUUGUAAUGAGGGUUGAUGCUGGCAGGUCAUUUCUUGUCUGCAUGUGCUCGCUCUCAACAAUAUUUCCUUAAACACCUGUGCACCUUUGGGGGGUCUCCGAAUGAUUACUGUCUUUUGGGUGGUAUUCUUGGAUUCCCUUCCUGUUACAAAUACACAAUUUGUUUUUACAAUGUCGAACGUGCUCGUGCCGGAAGGCCUUAAUGUAUAAUA
rnacentral:misc_RNA from 1 species